GUGAACGCUGGCGGUAGGCCUAACACAUGCAAGUCGAACGGCAGCACAGAGGAGCUUGCUCCUUGGGUGGCGAGUGGCGGACGGGUGAGGAAUACAUCGGAAUCUACUCUGUCGUGGGGGAUAACGUAGGGAAACUUACGCUAAUACCGCAUACGACCUACGGGUGAAAGCAGGGGAUCUUCGAACCUUGCGCGAUUGAAUGAGCCGAUGUCGGAUUAGCUAGUUGGCGGGGUAAAG
rnacentral:rRNA from 1 species